rnacentral:rRNA from 1 species
AGUUUGAUCCUGGCUCAGGAUGAAUGCUGGCGGCGUGCCUUAAGCAUGCAAGUCGAACGAUUUCCGCAAGGAAGUAGUGGCAGACGGGUGAGUAACGCGUAGGAAUCUACCUCUAGGUGGGACAUAGCCAUCCGAAAGGAUGGGUAAUUUCCCAUAGUCUCGUAAGAGUAAAGGACUUAACUGUCCGCCAAGAGAGGAGCCUGCGUCCUAUCAGCUAGUUGGUGAGGUAAUGGCUUACCAAGGCGAUGACGGGUAGCUGGACUGAGAGGUCGAUCAGCCACAACUGCACUGAAAACGGGCAGUACACCUACGGGUGGCAGCAACUGGGAAUAUUGCGCAAUGGACGAAAGUCUGACGCAGCGACGCCGCGUGGAGGAUGAAGAUCUAUGGAUUGUAAACUCCUUUUGCUAAGCCGUUCACAGCUUAGAGAAUAAGCCCCUACUAACUACGUGCCAGAAGUCUCGGUGAUACGUAGGGGGCAAGCAUUAUCCGGAUUCAUUGGGCGUAAAGUGUGCGUAG